GACGAACGCUGGCGGCGUGCAUAACACAUGCAAGUCGAACGGAAAGGCCCUGCUUGCAGGGUACUCGAGUGGCGAACGGGUGAGUAACACGUGGGUGAUCUGCCUUGCACUUCGGGAUAAGCCUGGGAAACUGGGUCUAAUACCGGAUAGGAGCCAUUUUUAGUGUGAUGGUUGGAAAGUUUUUUCGGUGUAAGAUGAGCUCGCGGCCUAUCAGCUUGUUGGUGGGGUAAUGGCCUACCAAGGCGGCGACGGGUAGCCGGCCUGAGAGGGUGGACGGCCACAUUGGGACUGAGAUACGGCCCAGACUCCUACGGGAGGCAGCAGUGGGGAAUAUUGCACAAUGGGCGCAAGCCUGAUGCAGCGACGCCGCGUGGGGGAUGACGGCCUUCGGGUUGUAAACUCCUUUCGCUAGGGACGAAGCUUUUUGUGACGGUACCUAGAUAAGAAGCACCGGCUAACUACGUG
rnacentral:rRNA from 1 species